AAAAAUAGGCGCUACUUUUUCCCUCCUUUCCUUUUCCCCCACCCCACUCCCCACCAAAAAAUGACAUUAGCUAUCAUCAAAACACACACACACACACACACAGAUCCAAAUUAAAAACUGCUGGUCUAUCACCAACAUCGUAAGCUCGCACAAUCGCAAUCAAAAUUAAGUUUCUGGGAGAAGAAAAAACAGUUUGUUACCUUUGUCGUCAUCCAUUGUUUUUGUUAGGGUUUCUUCUCAAGCUUGUAGGAGAAAAAAUAAGAUGGCGCCUUUGUAAAAUGCCUAAAUCCAUUGAACAGUCCUCUGUUUAUGUUUAUCCAUUCCCCGGUCAACGCGGACACUUUGUUGGAUUAUUAGUAUGCAUAUACUAACCAGCAUACAAAACACGACCCAAGGCUUGAGAGUUAUUGGGCUAAAGCCAAAUGAGAAGAUUGCACUCUUUGCUGAUAAUUCAUGUCGAUGGCUUGUUGCAAAUCAAGGUAUGAUGGCAAUGGGGAUAUUAAUGUUGUAGGGGGUUCAAGGUCAUCAGCUUCAAGAGCUAGUGCAAUUACAACCACUACGAAAGGUAAGUUGUUGGCACUACACUCAUGGUAGACAUCGGUCAUUGAAGUAUCUUGCAACUUGCUGAAAUAUUUGAUUCAGAGUAGCAUAGCUAGUUUGGUAGGUUUGAUCUGAUUUAACUCGUAUGUCUCUCUUCAAUUACAUUUGCUCAAUUGCAGUAGCUAUUUUUAAGAAGUGUCUUAUACUUGUAAUAAACAAUUACUAUAUCCAUAACCUAGAUCAAAGCUAAGGUUAGCGAUCAUGUCUAAAAUCAAAUGUAUCUAAAUCUAUGUGAGUGCUAAAAAUAAUUAUUUAGACUCACUUUUUUAUGAUUCUUAUCAUUUGGAUGUGCUCUAACAUGCAUCGUGCUACAAUCCUAUUUCUCAUUACAUCUUUGUUUAAUAAAGAUUUCCUAAGCUAUUCACAAUUAGCAUAUUUUCAUACUUUGAUAAGUACAUUUUAAAUCCAUUUAUGAGCAGAAAAUGAAAGAACUUAAGUUCCUUCAAAGCUAGUCAUUACGAAUUACUUGCAUCGAGUAAGUUUUGGUUUCAAAUGAUUUGAAGUAAGUUUUGGUUUCAAAUGAUUUGAUAGGAUUCUUGUAGCAUGAAAAAAUAACCGGAGGAAAUCAGUGCAUGCUACU